GGAUGUGAGGGCGAUCUGGCUGCGAAAUCUGUCACCCCAUUGAUCACUAGGGUUGAUUCAGCUGAUCUGGCUGGCUAGGCAGGUGUCCCCUUCCUCUCUGAUGUCCGUCCCUCCCGAAGCUGCGUGCUCGGUCAAAGAGGAUGACCAUCUCUGAUAGAGGAGGACUGGUCUUCAGUCAAGAGUACAUGAGGAGCUGCACUCCCCCACUGAAAUCUCCAAACAAGCUCUCUUUAACUGACAAAUAAAAAUUGUAUAUAUUUAUCAAGUAUAUCAUUUU
rnacentral:snRNA from 1 species